rnacentral:rRNA from 1 species
CUCAAAGGAAUUGACGGGGACCCGCACAAGCGGUGGAUGAUGUGGUUUAAUUCGACGCAACGCGAAAAACCUUACCUACCCUUGACAUGUCUGGAAUCCUGCAGAGAUGCGGGAGUGCUCGAAAGAGAGCCAGAACACAGGUGCUGCAUGGCCGUCGUCAGCUCGUGUCGUGAGAUGUUGGGUUAAGUCCCGCAACGAGCGCAACCCUUGUCAUUAGUUGCUACGAAAGGGCACUCUAAUGAGACUGCCGGUGACAAACCGGAGGAAGGUGGGGAUGACGUCAGGUCAUCAUGGCCCUUAUGGGUAGGGCUACACACGUCAUACAAUGGCCGGUACAGAGGGCAGCCAACCCGCGAGGGGGAGCCAAUCCCAGAAAACCGGUCGUAGUCCGGAUCGCAGUCUGCAACUCGACUGCGUGAAGUCGGAAUCGCUAGUAAUCGCGGAUCAGCUUGCCGCGGUGAAUACGUUCCCGGGUCUUGUACACACCGCCCGUCACACCA